CUUUGGUCAUGAGCAGGGCUCCUGGUCAGAUUGAUUUUGGGCAGGUUACUGAGGUAGGCCCAGAAACAACCAUUGGCCCUGGGCUGCCAUCAUCAAAUCAAACCCCCUGCACACUUGUGACAGCAACAGCAGCAGAGGAACCUGGCACGACAGGUUCCUGAGGCUGGGCGGCUGCUGCAGGCACUGGCCAGAGGACCUGUGUGUUCACUGAAGCUGGACCAGGGUGGCCACAAAACUGAGGCGCCUUGCUGGUGAUGAAUAAGAAGUCCUUGGACCUCAUAUAACAGCUCAAACUUUGCUUGAGAAAUUCAGGAAAAAUUAUGGCACGUACACAUUUGUCUAAGUCUGCCUGCUCUCCUGCCCAGCAGGUUGUGGACAAAGCCACUGAGUUCUAUUCUCUGGGGAGCACUGCAAGCACGUGAGGAGCUACUCUGGAUCUGGGAGAGCAGCAGUUGUGGAUUGAGAACCAUGUAGUUAUUUCCAGAACCAAGAAGAUUUAUCCUAAAGUACCUGUAAAGCUGCAAGUAAAGUUCAGGAGACUCCCAGUGUGGACAACUGGAGGAUGAGGACCCCAGGACAUGACAAAGCCUAAACUCACUGUUUUAUCUGGAUGCAGAAAGAAAGGCCCCUUGGACUGUAUAUCAAUGGUUUCAUACUGAGAAAAGAACAACAACAAAGAAAAAAAGGAAAUAUCACAACAAGGUGUGUACACAGGACUUUUGUGGAUAAAAGGAUGGAUAAACCUCACUGAAAUCACUGUUCUGAGACUGCAGGCACAGCUAUUAAGGACAGCCCAGAAGCAAGCCAGGUCUAGUUUCCAAAGCACAGAGUGGAUUAAAAGUAAAGCACAACCAAAAAGAAGAUCUGGAAAUCUGAAAAUAUGGAAGCAGAAUAACAGUCCAUCAAACAACGGAGGAUUCCUGCUGCUUCCCAGUAGUGCUGCUUCCUAAAGUGACUUAAAGGAAAAGAUUCAUCAAGGAGAAGAAGCAACCAAGG